rnacentral:rRNA from 1 species
CUUUCUCGCGACGCCCCGCGUAUACAUAGGGGGCGAGCGUUAUCCGGAAUUAUUGGGCGUAAAGGGUGCGUAGGCGGUUUAAUAAGUCUCUAGUUUAAUUUCAACGCUUAACGUUGUCCUGCUAGAGAAACUGUUUAACUAGAGUGAGAUAGAGGUAAGCGGAAUUCCAUGUGUAGCGGUAAAAUGUGUAAAUAUAUGGAGGAACACCAGAGGCGUAGGCGGCUUACUGGGUCUUUACUGACGCUGAUGCACGAAAGCGUGGGGAGCAAACAGGAUUAGAUACCCUGGUAGUCCACGCCGUAAACUAUGAGUACUAAGUGUCGGGGUUAAACUCGGUACUGAAGUUAACACAUUAAGUACUCCGCCUGAGUAGUACGUACGCAAGUAUGAAACUUAAAGGAAUUGACGGGAUCCCGCACAAGCGGUGGAUCAUGUUGUUUAAUUCGAAGAUACACGAAAAACCUUACCAGGUCUUGACAUACUCUGCAAAGCUAUAGAAAUAUAGUGGAGGUUAUCAGGGAUACAGGUGGUGCAUGGUUGUCGUCAGCUCGUGUCGUGAGAUGUUAGGUUAAGUUCUAAAACGAGCGCAACCCCUGUCGUUAAUUGCCAGCACGUUAUGGUGGGGACUUUAGCGAGACUGCCAAUGAAAAAUUGGAGGAAGGUGGGGAUUACGUCAAAUCAUCAUGCCCCUUAUGAUCUGGGCUACAAACGUGAUACAAUGGCUAUUACAAAGAGUAGCUGAAACGCGAGUUUUCGGCAAAUCUCAAAAAAAUAGUCUCAGUUCGGAUUGAAGUCUGCAACUCGACUUCAUGAAGUUGGAAUCGCUAGUAAUCGCGAAUCAGCAUGUCGCGGUGAAUACGUUCUCGGGGUUUGUACACACCGCCCGUCAAACCACGAAAGUGUACAAUACCCGAAGCGACAAGUCUACAUGGGGUAGACCAA